UACGUAGGGGGCUAGCGUUGUCCGGAAUCAUUGGGCGUAAAGCGCGUGUAGGCGGUCCGGUAAGUCCGCUGUGAAAGUCGGGGGCUCAACCCUCGAAUGCCGGUGGAUACUGUCGGGCUAGAGUGCGGAAGAGGCGAGUGGAAUUCCUGGUGUAGCGGUGAAAUGCGCAGAUAUCAGGAGGAACACCAAUUGCGAAGGCAGCUCGCUGGGACGUAACUGACGCUGAGACGCGAAAGCGUGGGGAGCGAUCCGG
rnacentral:rRNA from 1 species